rnacentral:tRNA from 1 species
GGCACUGUAGCUUAGUGGUUAAAGCACUUGUCUCGUAAACAGGAGAUCCCUAGUUCAAUUCUGAGCAGUGCCU